rnacentral:tRNA from 2 species
GGACCUGUAGCUCAGUUGGUUAGAGCGCACGCCUGAUAAGCGUGAGGUCGGUGGUUCGAAUCCACCCAGGUCCACCA